rnacentral:lncRNA from 1 species
GUGGAAAACUGCAGCAGGAUUCUGGUCUUCAUAUUUUAGCCUCCAACCUAGAGGGAUGCUAGGACAAAUAAUGUCUAUCCUUUUCACAGCUCAAGCUCCCCUUAUUCCCUUGCUGCUAUGUGAACAUGCU